ensembl:lncRNA
GUGUGUGUGUGUGUGUGUGUGUGUGUGUGUUGUUCGGCAUUAAGCAUUAAGCUUUAAACCCCAGUUUCUUCAGAAGCCCCUCACGCGGUUGGUUCGUUUCCCGCUGCCUCUGUCGCUCCGUAUCACACUCGUGCGGGACAACAAGCCUCUCGGACCCGCAGCGCGUUGCCAUGGCAGCACAGACCCUCCAUCUCGCGUGUGUUGCUGUCUGCCUCCUCCUCACGGCUUCGACUCUUGGUGCGGGGAAGAACUUCUCCGUACCAUGUGGCCUCGCCGACCCCGUCCAGGAGAUAACGUGGUUCCAUCUCCACGGGGAGCGCGUGACGCCGCUGCUCUCGUUGUCACUCACCAGGAUGAACCAGACCUCCAUCGAGACGUACCACCCGAGGGCAGUCUCUACCGGAGACCUUCGGGACCAGCCGCCGAGUCUGAACCUGAUCGAGGUUAACCGGUCGGACGCCGGUCUGUAUUUUUGCGUUGGACGCAAACCGCAACUAUCCGUCACCAGCCGCGUUCUGCGUCUGAGCGUCGAAGAGCCUGAGUGGCCGCCAUGUUGGAUCCUGUGGGCAGUUCUACUUCCUGCCUCCACCCUCCUCAACUUCCUGGUUCUCAUUGGAUGCUGCAUCUGGACAGGUAAACGAUGCUGCUGCUGCCGCGGGAAGACGGAGGCGGGGCUUGUUGAUUACGCCAGUAUAAAACAUGCACACAGGCCACGCCCCUCUGCCCAGCAAGGACCAGGAUUGGUCAAAGAAAACAUUCCUCGAGGCAUCAUAUACGCAGCCGUGAGGUUACAGAGCCCGCCCCCGAGGCAGUGAUGGACGGAUCCACUGGCGAAUAAGGAUUCAGUAAAUCGUUAGAUUCUAUUUGUAUUUUAAUUUUAUUUUUUUUAUGAUUUUCAACUUCAAUUCAACUGUUACAAUAAAUACAUAUAAAGAGGUAAUCUGCCGUUUCCUUCUUAUUUAUAAAUCAGCGGUCUGUAGGUCCGACCUGGGUCGUACUGGUCCGGCCCCUCCUCUCAGAGGGUGCCACUGCGCUGCCCUCACCGGUUUCACUUCAGAUCUCAACUCCCUUCGUCCAAAGUGUUACCUUUCCUCCUUUAGAUGUUCUGAAUGCCCUUCCUUCUGCUCACAGUGCAGAGCGAUGUUGGCAGGAAGGCGCUGAGGGCGCUGUCUGUUUGAAGGAUCAUUCAUUCUGGUUUUCAUUCAUUUUUUAACUAACUUUUUUUUUUAUUUCGAAAUGCUGUUAAAUAUAGAUAUUUUUAAUUAGGAGCUUAAUAAAGAAAUAUCCAUUUUGACAAAUGUAAAACUGUAUUCACCUGAUUAAUAAUUAGUCAAUCAAUCCAACUAAACAUUAUUUGUUUUCUUUCUAAAAUACUGUUAAAAAUAAAUAUAUUUG